CAACAAACAUUAUCUAUCAUAAGAGACAGAGAUUUGGAAUGAAGUCUAGAUGUUUCUGCAGAUUUAAGUGUAUAUGAGAAGGUUUGGAGUCCACAGAUUGGAAACCAAAGCUCUGGAUUCUGUUCUUGCGUUCUUGUUCUGCAUAGAAAGAGAAAAUGAUCGCUCCAUAUCCUUCAUAUGUAAAUCUUCAAUGCAAUCACGGCACCAGUCCCUCUUAGGGCUCGGACUCCCGUUGGCAGGCUGAUGAAACGAAGGGUUGUUGUUCUCCCUACUUCCUCCAUCCAGUCUUGGGGAAUAAUGAUGUCUGCCAUAAAUGUUAUUUUGAGGAUCAAAUGGGACAGUGUUCAAGGAUAUGCCGGGUAAACUGUAAAGCGGAAUAAAAUUGUGAGGUAUCAUUGUCAUUAGCAGCAGCAGCAUCUCACAGUCUGAAGAGACCUUUAAAGACAAACACCGACCCAUCAGAAGAGCUCAGCUCCACUUCUGUCUCACUCCUUGCUGUUUGCCUCUCAACUGUGAAAUGGGGAUGGUGUUAUUGGCUAACCUAUUGAGUUACGGCAAAGAAUGAGAAAAUAAGUUUCCCUGUAUAACAUCAUCAGCCAGAGGCAAGACCAAAUACUCAAACUCUGCCAGACCCCAGAAUUCAGAUGUCAAAGAAGUUCGACAUGUCAUCACAAGGACAAGAAGAUGAUAACAAGUUUCUGUGCAAAUUCAGAGCAGAGAGCGUGUUUCAAGACUGUCUACCCAGGACCGUUUCAGGCAGUGGAGGACUCAUGCAUAUUUUCAUGCCUGCAUCAUUCCAUCACCGGACAAGGCCAAUGAGCCCUCCUGAGCACCAGGUGCCAUGUGCAGAACACUCACCCUGUGGGUCCUCCCAGCCUUUUGAAGCCACCUGCCCCCAAGAGAUUCAGGCUCAGUAAGCGAGGCCCACUGCAUGGAAUCGAACCGGAUAAAUACCACAAUAAAAGCUGUUCAUUUUAACAAAGAUUUCAAAAAGAAAGAAUUAAAC
ensembl:lncRNA